rnacentral:rRNA from 1 species
UGGAGGUCAAUAUAUGGCGACAAUGGGGCGACAAGGUCUUGACGGCAGGCGACGCCGCGUGGGGGAUGAAGGUCUUCGGAUUGUAAACCCCUUUCGGGAGGGAAGAUGGAGUGGGUAACCACUUGGACGGUACCUCCAGAAGCAGCCACGGCUAACUUCGUGCCAGCAGCCGCGGUAAUACGAAGGUGGCAAGCGUUGUUCGGAUUCACUGGGCGUACAGGGAGCGUAGGCGGUUGGGUAAGCCCUCCGUGAAAUCUCCGGGCCUAACCCGGAAAGUGCAGAGGGGACUGCUCAGCUAGAGGAUGGGAGAGGAGCGCGGAAUUCCCGGUGUAGCGGUGAAAUGCGUAAAGAUCGGGAGGAAGGCCGGUGGCGAAGGCGGCGCUCUGGAACAUUUCUGACGCUGAGGCUCGAAAGCGUGGGGAGCAAACAGGAUUAGAUACCCUGGUAGUCCACGCCUUAAACUAUGGAUACUAAGUGUCGGCGGUUUACCGCCGGUGCCGCAGCUAACGCAAUAAGUAUCCCGCCUGGGAAGUACGGCCGCAAGGUUGAAACUUCAAAGGAU